AUAUUGCGCAAUGGCCGCAAGGCUGACGCAGCGACGCCGCGGGGGGGAUGAAGCAUUUCGGUGUGUAAACCCCUGUUGCCCGGGACGAACCUCCCCUUUCGAGGGGACUGACGGUACCGGGCGAGGACGCACCGGCCAACUCCGUGCCAGCAGCCGCGGUAAUACGGAGGGUGCGAGCGUCGUCCGGAAUCACUGGGCGUAAAGGGCGCGUAGGCGGUGACUUAAGCGUGUGGUGAAAGCCCGGGGCUCAACCCCGGGUCGGCCGUGCGAACUGGGUCACUCGAGCACUGUAGAGGCAGGUGGAAUUCCGGGUGUAGCGGUGGAAUGCGUAGAGAUCCGGAAGAACACCAGUGGCGAAGGCGGCCUGCUGGGCAGUAGCUGACGCUGAGGCGCGACAGCGUGGGGGGCAAACAGG
rnacentral:rRNA from 1 species